CAUGUUGACGGUAUCCCACAUGAAUGUUAGUAUGAUAAGAACUCAAGCGGAAGCAAGAUGGCGGUUAAAAGACAUCAGACUUCAUUGAUCUACACGUCUUACAAUGCUUACACCACUAGCAGACAUUCUAUUUCUUUUGUUUCCAGUUGGCCAAUGAGCACCGCUCAGCCGAAAACUUGGUCGGUAUAUACAUGGAGUACUCAAUUUAAGUUGAAACCGUUCCUAAUGCAUUACUGCCGGCCAUUAUAUUGUAUGCCACAAGACAGCCUGAUGAUUGAAGAAGAUGACGAGAACCGGAUUUCUUCAAAGCAAGACCCAUAUCGUCAUCUGAGCUUGAAAUUCAAAUUCCUGUAAGACACCAGUUAAAUUAGUAUGUAUAAAACAUAAAUACGAA